rnacentral:rRNA from 1 species
UACGUAGGUGGCAAGCGUUGUCCGGAUUUACUGGGCGUAAAGGGCGUGCAGGCGGUUUGUUAAGUCAGUGGUGAAAUAUGGCAGCUUAACUGUCAGGGUGCCAUUGAUACUGUUGGACUUGAGUACAGACGAGGUAGGCGGAAUUGACGGUGUAGCGGUGAAAUGCUUAGAUAUCGUCAAGAACACCGAUAGCGAAGGCAGCUUACUAGGCUGUAACUGACGCUGAGGCACGAAAGUGUGGGGAUCAAACAGG